GAGUUUGAACCUGGCUCAGGAUGAACGCUGGCGGCGUGCUUAAUACAUGCAAGUCGAACGAAGCACCUCUCCCGUUGAUUGACCUAGCUUGCUAGAGAUUGAAACAAUUGAGGUGACUGAGUGGCGGACGGGUGAGUAACGCGUGGGUAACCUGCCUUGUACAGGGGGAUAACAGUUGGAAACGACUGCUAAUACCGCAUAAGCGCACAGUAUCGCAUGAUACAGUGUGAAAAACUCCGGUGGUACAAGAUGGACCCGCGUCUGAUUAGCUAGUUGGAGGGGUAACGGCCCACCAAGGCAACGAUCAGUAGCCGACUCGAGAGAGUGAUCGGCCACAUUGGGACUGAGACACGGCCCAAACUCCUACGGGAGGCAGCAGUAGGGAAUAUUGCACAAUGGGGGAAACCCUGAUGCAGCGACGCCGCGUGAAGGAUGAAGUAUUUCGGUAUGUAAACUUCUAUCAGCAAGGAAGAAAAUGACGGUACUUGACUAAGAAGCCCCGGCUAAAUACGUGCCAGCAGCCGCGGUAAUACGUAUGGGGCAAGCGUUAUCCGGAUUUACUGGGUGUAAAGGGAGCGUAGGCGGUACGGCAAGUCAGAAGUGAAAGCCUGGGGCUCAACCCCGGAAUUGCUUUUGAAACUGUCGAACUAGAGUGUCGGAGGGGUAAGCGGAAUUCCUAGUGUAGCGGUGAAAUGCGUAGAUAUUAGGAGGAACACCGGUGGCGAAGGCGGCUUAC
rnacentral:rRNA from 1 species